UACGUAGGGCGCAAGCGUUGUCCGGAAUUAUUGGGCGUAAAGAGCUCGUAGGCGGCUUGUCACGUCGGGUGUGAAAGCCCGAGGCUUAACCCCGGGUCUGCAUUCGAUACGGGCAGGCUAGAGUGUGGUAGGGGAGAUCGGAAUUCCUGGUGUAGCGGUGAAAUGCGUAGAUAUCGGAAGGAACAUCAGUGGCGAAAGCGACUUCCUGGACCAGUACCGACGUCAGGCACGAAAGCGUGGGGAGCAAACAGG
rnacentral:rRNA from 1 species